UGCGCGCUAGCAUGCAGUCGAACGGUAACAGGAAGCAGCUUGCUGCUUCGCUGACGAGUGGCGGACGGGUGAGUAAUGUCUGGGAAACUGCCUGAUGGAGGGGGAUAACUACUGGAAACGGUAGCUAAUACCGCAUAACGUCGCAAGACCAAAGAGGGGGACCUUCGGGCCUCUUGCCAUCGGAUGUGCCCAGAUGGGAUUAGCUUGUUGGUGGGGUAACGGCUCACCUAGGCGACGAUCCCUAGCUGGUCUGAGAGGAUGACCAGCCACACUGGAACUGAGACACGGUCCAGACUCCUACGGGAGGCAGCAGUGGGGAAUAUUGCACAAUGGGCGCAAGCCUGAUGCAGCCAUGCCGCGUGUAUGAAGAAGGCCUUCGGGUUGUAAAGUACUUUCAGCGGGGAGGAAGGGAGUAAAGUUAAUACCUUUGCUCAUUGACGUUACCCGCAGAAGAAGCACCGGCUAACUCCGUGCCAGCAGCCGCGGUAAUACGGAGGGUGCAAGCGUUAAUCGGAAUUACUGGGCGUAAAGCGCACGCAGGCGGUUUGUUAAGUCAGAUGUGAAAUCCCCGGGCUCAACCUGGGAACUGCAUCUGAUACU
rnacentral:rRNA from 1 species